rnacentral:rRNA from 1 species
AGUGAACGCUGGCGGUAGGCCUAACACAUGCAAGUCGAACGGCAGCACAGUAAGAGCUUGCUCUUACGGGUGGCGAGUGGCGGACGGGUGAGGAAUACAUCGGAAUCUACUUUUUCGUGGGGGAUAACGUAGGGAAACUUACGCUAAUACCGCAUACGACCUACGGGUGAAAGCAGGGGAUCUUCGGACCUUGCGCGAUUGAAUGAGCCGAUGUCGGAUUAGCUAGUUGGCGGGGUAAAGGCCCACCAAGGCGACGAUCCGUAGCUGGUCUGAGAGGAUGAUCAGACACACUGGAACUGAGACACGGUCCAGACUCCUACGGGAGGCAGCAGUGGGGAAUAUUGGACAAUGGGCGCAAGCCUGAUCCAGCCAUACCGCGUGGGUGAAGAAGGCCUUCGGGUUGUAAAGCCCUUUUGUUGGGAAAGAAAAGCAGCAGGUUAAUACCCAGCUGUUCUGACGGUACCCAAAGAAUAAGCACCGGCUAACUUCGUG